rnacentral:tRNA from 1 species
GGGGCUAUAGCUCAGUGUUAGAGUGCCUGCCUACCACGCAUGAGGCACUGGGUUCAAUCUUCAGUACCACA